rnacentral:rRNA from 1 species
UGAGGAAUAUUGGUCAAUGGGCGCGAGCCUGAACCAGCCAAGUAGCGUGAAGGAUGACUGCCCUAUGGGUUGUAAACUUCUUUUAUAGGGGAAUAAAGUUGGCCACGUGUGGCCUUUUGUAUGUACCUUAUGAAUAAGGAUCGGCUAACUCCGUGCCAGCAGCCGCGGUAAUACGGAGGAUCCGAGCGUUAUCCGGAUUUAUUGGGUUUAAAGGGAGCGUAGAUGGGUUGUUAAGUCAGUUGUGAAAGUUUGCGGCUCAACCGUAAAAUUGCAAUUGAUACUGGCGUCCUUGAGUACAGUUGAGGUGGGCGGAAUUCGUGGUGUAGCGGUGAAAUGCUUAGAUAUCACGAAGAACUCCGAUCGCGAAGGCAGCUUGCCGGACCGUAACUGACGCUGAUGCUCGAAAGUGCGGGUAUCAAACAGGAUUAGAUACC